AUGACUUUGAUCUCCGUCCUCAUCUGGACUCUCCUCUGCUGCUGCUUCACAGAGUCCAGAGGCCAGCUCACAGUGACUCAGCCUGCAGCAGUGAGAUCUGAACUGGGACGAUCUGCAACCAUCAGCUGUAAGACCAGUCAGGAUGUUGUUGGUGGGGUCAUCUUGGCCUGGUACCAACAGAGAGAUGGAGAAGCUCCUAAACUUCUCAUUCACACUGCUACCAGUCGACAAUCAGGGAUUCCAGGUCGUUUUUCAGGCAGUGGAUCAAACUCUGACUUCACUCUGACCAUCAGUGGAGUUCAGGCUGAAGAUGCAGCAGUUUAUUACUGUCAGAGUCUUCAUGAAAUCAACAGUCAGUUUGUGUUCACGUUCGGUGGAGGAACCAGACUGGAUGUUGGAAGUGAUGUCCGUCCCACCCUGACGGUGCUGCCCCCCUCCAGCCAGGAGCUGCAGCAGGGGAAGGCCACGCUCACGUGUCUGGCCAACAAGGGCUUCCCCUCAGACUGGAGUCUGGCCUGGAAGGUGGACGGCAGCAGCAGCAGCAGCAGCAGCUGGGAGCAGAGCAGGAGCCCCGGGGUGCUGCAGCAGGACGGCCACUACAGCUGGAGCAGCACCCUGAGGCUCACUGCAGACCAGUGGAGGAAGGUGGGCUCUGUGACCUGUGAGGCCACCCAGGGCUCCCAGGCUCCACUCUCAGAGACACUGAGGAGAGACCAGUGUUCCCAGUCCUGACCUGACUCACUGGGACUCUGCUACUGGUUUUACUCUGCUACUGCUCUCACUCUGAUGUCUGCAACUCUGUUUUUUUCUCCCUCUGUCUCUUUAAAUGUUGCAGUAAUGAUGUUUCUUGCUUUUUGAUUUUAAUAUUUCAUGAAAAUAAAAACGUGUUCAUCAAAUCAA